rnacentral:rRNA from 1 species
ACUUGGUGUGGUUGUUGCUGGCCUUCUCGGGGGCAUGUGCACACCCACCAUCCUCAUCUCUCCACCUGUGCACCUCUUGUAGACCUGGAUUGACUUUCCGAGGCAACUCGGUCGGGAAGAUUGCUGCGMUCUGUGAGCCAGCUUUCUUUGCAUGUCCAGGCCUAUGUUUUUCAUAUACCCCUAUAGAAUGUAACAGAAUGUAUCAUUGGGCCUUGUGCCUAUAAACCUUAUACAACUUUCAGCAACGGAUCUCUUGGCUCUCGCAUCGAUGAAGAACGCAGCGAAAUGCGAUAAGUAAUGUGAAUUGCAGAAUUCAGUGAAUCAUCGAAUCUUUGAACGCACCUUGCGCUCCUUGGUAUUCCGAGGAGCAUGCCUGUUUGAGUGUCAUUAAAUUCUCAACCUUAUUAACUUUUGUUGAUAAUGGAUUGGAUUGUGGGGGUUUCUUUUGCUGGCUUCUUCACAGAGAUCAGCUCCCCUUAAAUGCAUUAGCUGGUGCCCCGCGUGGACCAUCUAUUGGUGUGAUAAUUAUCUACGCCGUGGAUGUCUGCAAUYAUAUGGGUUUCGCACUGCUUCUAACCGUCUGUUCAUUCGGACAAUACAUGACAAUUUGACCUCAAAUCAGGUAGGACUACCCGCUGAACUUAAGCAUAUCAAUAAGCGGAGGAAAAGAAACUAACAAGGAUUCCCCUAGUAACUGCGAGUGAAGCGGGAAAAGCUCAAAUUUAAAAUCUGGCGGUCUCCGGCCGUCCGAGUUGUAAUCUAGAGAAGUGUUAUCCGCGCUGGAC